rnacentral:lncRNA from 1 species
CGGCCACCCCCGGGCGGCUUGUAGCCGGUGCGCGGGGUGGCUGGGGCUACGUGCAGAGCUGUCGCGGAGCCGGAGCAGCAGCGGUGAAGGCCCUCGGCUCGGCCGAGACCGCCGUGCCCACUGCUCGCCUCGGUUGCCGCCGCUUUAGCCGCAGCCGCUGCUGCCGCCGCCGGGGGAGAGGCAGCCUAUUGUCUUUCUCCGCGGCGAAGGUGAGGAGCUGUCUCGGCUCGGCCCGCGGGGGAGCCCCGGGAGCCGCACGGUGGCAUUUUUCAACUCCGCUGGAGCCAGUGCCCAGGAGGAACAAAGGGUGUGCUGCCAGCCCCUGGCUCACCCAGUGGCCUCGUCCCAGAAGAAGCCAGAGGUAGCGGCCCCAGCCCCAGAGAGUGGGGGUGAGUCUGUGUUUGGGGAGACCCACCGGGCCCUGCAGGGGGCCAUGGAGAAGCUGCAGCGACUUUAUGGAAGGAGAAGGUGGACCUGAAGGAGCGGGUAGAGAAACUAGAGCUUCAAUUCAUCCACCUCUCAGGACAGACAGACACCAUAGAAAGUACAUCAGCCAGGGGGCAGUGUCAGAGACGCAGCACUGGGAGAGGAGGACAUCGUCAGGCUGGCCCAGGACCAGGAGGAGAUGAAGGUGAACCUGCAGGAGCUGCGGGGCAGGUGUUGCAGCUUGUGGGCGACCACAAGGAGGGGCAUGGCAAAUUUUGACCAUUGCCCAGAACCCUGCUGAUGAGCCCACUCUAGGAGCCCCAGUAGCCCAGGAGCUUGGGUGUGCUGACGAGCAGGGUGGCUUUUAUCCUAGAUCACCACUGGAUUGCUGACAGAUAGAGGAGGUGGGACCCUGACUAUCACCCCUAAUCUGCAGUGGAUUUGGCUCUCGGCACUCCCAGGCUGGGAGCUGGAUACCUGCCCUGGCAGCAUGGCUCAGACUGCAUGACAGCUCUUUACCCAGUUACCCUCCAGUUCCUCACAACGUAUGCCUAUCUCCGUCAUGCCCCGGACUGCAUUGAAGCCAGGCUGCCUUGAAGAAGCUCUCCCAGACUGCCCUUUUCCCCAAGGCAGGGUCAUGAUUUGCCAAAGGUUUCGUGUGUGUGUUAGCAAGACUGGAGUCAGAGCAGGCAUCAAACUUUACAUCCCAUAUGUCACACCUCACCAUAGACCUGGGUGCCAAAUAGCCUGAAGAGUCUGAACUCACGUUGGCAGUUAGGAAAGUGCUCCUACAGACGCAUCUACGGUUAACAUAGCAUCCCUAUGGCCACUGUCUCCCUUGAUCCCCACAGCCAUUCUAGGAGAAAGGCAGAAUGUCAUAAUUUGCUAAAAGGGAUGCUGAGGCUCUGGGAGGGAAAGGGACUUGCCUAAAGCCCCAGGGUGAAGCAGCAUCUCUGGACUCCCAGUCCAGUGAUCUUGCCCAAUACUUUGCUGCUUGCCUAUACCCCUCUAACUUGGUCAACAGCACAUCACAGGGCAAGCCCCAAUCCCUGCUUCAUUUUUAUAUAUGGGCGCUGGUCCCACAGCCCCACUCUCCAGCCAUUUGGAAACAAAAACAGAUGCUAUUGUUCUUCCUUAGAGAACGUGGCCAGUGGAGACGGCACACUGGAAAUCAGAGUGAAUGUUCUUGAAAGAGGGUCACGGGUCAACAAGGCCCAGCCAAAGGAUGCAGUAGAACCAUUUUCCUUAGAAAUCUUUGGGAGUGAAGUAGGCUUCAGCCACUCCCAUCCCUGCCCUUGCGGCUACCACUACCCCAUUAGUUUAGACAGGGUCGGGCGGGGAGGGGUGUGGAGAAGAAA